rnacentral:tRNA from 1 species
UCCGGUAUAGUGUAGGGGUUAACAUAACCCGCUUUCAAAAAGAGUUCCUUUGCAAAAAGAUUCUUUUAGAGCCGGGUAGCCCCGGGUUCGAUUCCCGGUACCGGAA